rnacentral:SRP_RNA from 1 species
GCCUAUAGUCCCAGCUACUCGGGAGGCUGAGAUGGGAGGAUCGCUUGAGCCCAGGAGUUCUGGGCUGUAGUCCGCUAUGCCAAUCGGUUGUCCACACUAAGUUUGGCAUCAAUAUGAUGACCUCCCUGGAGCGGGGAACCACCAGGUUGCCUAAGGAGGGGUGAACCUGCCCAGGUCCGAAACGGAGCAGAUCAAAACUCCCGUGCUGAUCGGUAGUGGGAUUGCGCCUGUGAAUAGCCACUGCAUUCCAGCCUGGGCAACACAGCGGGAUCCCAUCUCU